GUUCACCGUGGAGGCUGCGCGCGCACAGCUGCGCGGGCACGUCUUCAGUGAUGGAUGAAGACCAGCGGCAGCCAUAUUGGUUGUAGUCCACAAUUAUUGGGAUGAAAUAUUAAGACCAUGUAAAUAAGAACUGCAUCGGCAGUCCGUGGCAUCUUGAAGCUGAAACAGGAAGACCCCUGGACUCCAUCAAAAAAAUACGGCAAUUAAUGAACCAAUCAGACGCUCCGGAACGCCGGCGUUCACAACAACAUCUCGUCUGAACAAAGACAAAGAGGGCCUUUGAGGAGGGGCGAGCAAAAACAGAAGGAGGUAGGCAUUUCACGGAGAGGUCGAGAAAGGCUCUUUUGUCAUAUUCGAAUGCAUGGGUGUAUUGGUAUGGAACACACAUUAUACAGGAUGGCUCGAAGCAGAAGACAGAAUGUGCCCGUACAAGUCCCCUUCGAUCUUGCCGGCCUGAAUUCCUGCGUAAGAUGAGCAUGUGAACUUGGUCU